rnacentral:rRNA from 1 species
AGCUUGCUGCGGGUACUCGAGUGGCGAACGGGUGAGUAACACGUGGGUGAUCUGCCUUGCACUUCGGGAUAAGCUUGGGAAACUGGGUCUAAUACCGGAUAGGACAGCUGUUUAGUGUCAGUUGUGGAAAGUUUUUUCGGUGCAAGAUGAGCUCGCGGCCUAUCAGCUUGUUGGUGGGGUAAUGGCCUACCAAGGCGUCGACGGGUAGCCGGCCUGAGAGGGUGUACGGCCACAUUGGGACUGAGAUACGGCCCAGACUCCUACGGGAGGCAGCAGUGGGGAAUAUUGCACAAUGGGCGGAAGCCUGAUGCAGCGACGCCGCGUGGGGGAUGAAGGCCUUCGGGUUGUAAACUCCUUUCGACAGGGACGAAGCGUAAGUGACGGUACCUGUAUAAGAAGCACCGGCUAACUACGUGCCAGCAGCCGCGGUAAUACGUAGGGUGCGAGCGUUGUCCGGAAUUACUGGGCGUAAAGAGCUCGUAGGUGGUUUGUCGCGUCGUCUGUGAAAUUCCGGGGCUUAACUCCGGGCGUGCAGGCGAUACGGGCUGACUUGAGUGCUGUAGGGGAGACUGGAAUUCCUGGUGUAGCGGUGAAAUGCGCAGAUAUCAGGAGGAACACCGAUGGCGAAGGCAGGUCUCUGGGCAGUAACUGACGCUGAGGAGCGAAAGCAUGGGUAGCGAACAGGAUUAGAUACCCUGGUAGUCCAUGCCGUAAACGGUGGGCGCUAGGUGUAGGGGGCUUCCACGUCUUCUGUGCCGUAGCUAACGCAUUAAGCGCCCCGCCUGGGGAGUACG